GUACACGCUGUGACUAGCAUAUCAAUAAGCGGAGGAAAAGAAACAAACAAGGAUUCCCCUAGUAACGGCGAGUGAAGCGGGAAGAGCUCAAACUUGAAAUCUUAAAGGGUUUUCCCUUUACGAAUUGUAGUUUAAAGAAGUGUUUUCUGUUGAGGUUUUGGUAAAAGUUCUUUGGAAUAGGACAUCAUAGAGGGUGAGAAUCCCGUAUUUGACCUUUACUUUCAACUUUGUGAUACACUUUCAAAGAGUCGGAUUGUUUGGGAAUGCAGUCCAAAAUGGGUGGUAAAUUUCAUCUAAAGCUAAAUAUUGGCGAGAGACCGAUAGCGAACAAGUACCGUGAGGGAAAGAUGAAAAGAACUUUGAAAAGAGAGUUAAACAGUACGUGAAAUUGUCAAAAGGGAAGCGUUUGACACCAGUGUUGUUUUUCUGAAAAUCAAUUAAAGAACUGUUUAUGCUAAGCUGUUUAGACUUUAUCAGCUAUCUGUUUAGUUUUGAGCUUUUCUUUAAUGCACUUUUCAGUUAACAAGUCAACAUCAAUUUCUUUUGCUGUAAAAAAGCUUGAGGAAGGUGGCUUGAGAUUCGUCUUAAGUGUUUAUAGCCUCUUGCCUAUGCAGUCGGAGAGAUUGAGGUCUGCAGCGUAGAUCCUUCGGGGCUAAAUGCAUUUGUGCUAAGUUAUAGCAUUUUAUAGACAACUUGUUGACUAUGAUUUGUCUUGUAGCUUACUCGCUUAUGUUAUUUUACCUACGCUUAGGAUGUUGAUAUGCAUGACUGAUAU
rnacentral:rRNA from 1 species